UCACGGCAGCCACGGUGGCGGCGAAUCGGUGGCUCCGUUGCAUCGCAUCGUUGCGUGAACUUGGCAUCAAUGACCUUGGGUUGCAAGGGUUCCAAGAAAUAUGAUUGACAAUGUGGUCCUGUUGGAGUCUGGAUCAGCUAUAGGCGCCCUCAGCAGAAGUGACGCACGACGUUUUCGCUCGUGUUCCUUUGAGAAUGUAGAGAAACCCUCUAGAUCCGCCCCUGCUUCAGGUAGAGAGCCCUUUUGUCAUGCAACUCGCUUUCUAGAACAAACAUCUUACAGAACAUGUUGCAUUACACAAGACUUCCGUCUUCGAUAUUUGCAAUAUGUAAUCCUCUAAUAAAUAUGGAAAUAUGUA